AUCAGAGUUGAAUUGGCCCCUCUUGCUGACACGUCUAUUCACCAGUUAAUGAUAUCUCGGACAUGGCCCCACAGCUUGGUGAUCCACAGGUUCACCCCAAGCUCAGGCUGCAUGGCUGUUUCUUGGAUGCUGCCAGCUUCAACUGCAUGACCCCCCUCAAUGCAGAUGGAGGCCAUCUCUGCGUUCCUUCUCCUGAGCUCUGCCACAUCCUCAGCCAUCCGCUGCUUACCAUAUGCAUCUACUUUCUUCCAAAAGGUCUGGUUGAAAUGCUGGUAUAGCUUCCAAUCAAUAGCAUUCCACUCAAGGGCCCUGGACCUCAGCUCAGGGAACGUAUGUCCACCAGUGUGAUGAGUCUUACUCAGGCAGACUGAAGUCAAUCUGUGGAGUGGAGAGGCAGUAAAGCAGGAUCAUGCAGCUGGUCAGGAGUGUACCCAGGACCAGACCUUUGCACAUGGACCUCCACUGCCUUCCUUGCUUGCCAGGCAUGGUCCAGCAGUGUCAAGGAUUACCUUAAAAGCCCAGAACAUAAUUUUCAUCAUCAUCAUUAUCAAAUUCAUCAUCAUCAUGUAAAGCAUUUUUUUACUUUUUAGGGUUCAAGACUCGAAGAGGCAGAACCAUACUGCUUUUGUGUUGGUUUAUUAUUAAUAUUAUUAUUAAUAAUAUUAUUAUUAUCUGCCGAAUCGGCUCAAAUUGCCGUGAGCUGGAAUGAGUUAAAAACAUGAAACUUGGCCCGAUAACACGAAAUGAUGUGCAAGUGCUUUCCAUGAAACAUGAGCCCAAUUGGCCAGAUGGUUGAGCUGUAAUUACAGCCCAAAAUUUCAAUUUUGGAAAUGCCACACCCUUAAUACCGUAAAUCCGAUUGACAUGAAAUUUGACACACAAGUCUAGCUCAAUGUGCUCUCCUCCUAAACUGUACGUCUCAAAUUUUCUGUGGAUCUUCAUUGGACCAAGCUUAUUAAAAGUUGCAUAAAGCUUGUUGAUAUCUUCUUUAGUUUUCAAGAUUUUUACCAUUAAACUUCACAAGGGGCAGUGCCUAACCUGUAAAUUGUCAUAACUCAUUAACGAUUUGUCUAAUCAUCAUAAAUCUUGUUAGAUAUUUUCAGUCUGUGUAUGGGAAUUGGUCUACCAAAGCAUUUUGAGCCUGACCCUAAAAUACCAAAAAUGUGUACCUCAAAACCUGGUGGAUAGAAUCUCACCAAGUUUGGUGAGCAUGAUCUUGGGGAAAGUAUUAACCAAGAUCAUAAGUGUCAUACUGUUUGGUGCAUGUGGGCAUGGCCUAUUCAUCAUUAUCUGCCAUCUUAUGCCUUUGCUCAGUUUGCUAUGAGCUGGAAUGAGCUAGAGACAUGAAACUUGGUACCAUAACUUUAAGUGAUGUACUAAUGCUUCCAAUGAAAUAUGAUUACAGUUGACCUGAUGGUGGCGCUAUAAUUAACAGUCAAAAAGUGAAAAAUUUGAAAGGCCACCCACUCCGUGAGUCCUAUUUACUUAACAUCUUACUCAAAUCUGCAACUCAAUAUGCUCUUCCAAAAAAGCUUCUUGGACAAUAAACGUCCACCAUGAUGGAUUUUCCACCAUUUUGGAUAUUUGGAAAAACAAAUUUUUGACAUCUCCUCCUUAACCGUAAGUUUGAUUGAUACCAAAUUAUCUGUGUAUCAUUAUUGGACCAAACUUAUCAAUUGUUGCUUAAAGCUUGUUGAUAUCUUAUUUGCUUCUCAAGAUAUUGACCAAUGAACUUCAAAAGGACAUGGCUCAGCACAUGAAUAGACCAAAGUCAACAACUGUUGGAUCAGUUAUCACAAAACUUGCAGGAAGUGUCCACAUAAGUACCUGAAACAUACCCUGGAUGUUUCAUUAAAAUCUACCACUAGGGAUGUUACAAAUGGAAAAAAAAAACAUCAAAAAAACAAUUGGUGUGGCACGACAUAAAUCAGACUAUAAAUCAGAAAUUAUUUUGUCCAAUCAUUACAAAACUCACAGGAUAUCUUUCAUAAUGUUGAACCACGUGUG